UAAUCAAACCAAUCUUUUUCG
ensembl:piRNA 21ur-3420 ncRNA